GACGAACCGUGCGAACGUUGUUCGGAAUUACUGGGCGUAAAGGGCUCGUAGGCGGCCAACUAAGUCAGACGUGAAAUCCCUCGGCUUAACCGGGGAACUGCGUCUGAUACUGGAUGGCUUGAGUUCGGGAGAGGGAUGCGGAAUUCCAGGUGUAGCGGUGAAAUGCGUAGAUAUCUGGAGGAACACCGGUGGCGAAGGCGGCAUCCUGGACCGAAACUGACGCUGAGGAGCGAAAGCCAGGGGAGCAAACGGG
rnacentral:rRNA from 1 species